rnacentral:rRNA from 1 species
GAUGAACGCUGGCGGCGUGCCUAAUACAUGCAAGUCGAGCGAACAGACGAGGAGCUUGCUCCUCUGACGUUAGCGGCGGACGGGUGAGUAACACGUGGAUAACCUACCUAUAAGACUGGGAUAACUUCGGGAAACCGGAGCUAAUACCGGAUAAUAUAUUGAACCGCAUGGUUCAAUAGUGAAAGACGGUUUUGCUGUCACUUAUAGAUGGAUCCGCGCCGCAUUAGCUAGUUGGUAAGGUAACGGCUUACCAAGGCAACGAUGCGUAGCCGACCUGAGAGGGUGAUCGGCCCCACUGAACCUGAGACCCGGUCCAGCUCCCUACGGGAGGCAGCAGUAGGGAAUCUUCCGCAAUGGGCGAAAGCCUGACGGAGCAACGCCGCGUGAGUGAUGAGGGUCUUCGGUUCGUAAACCUCUGUUAUUAGGGAAGAACAAAUGUGUAAGUAACUAUGCACGUCUUGCCGGUACCUAAUCAGAAGGCCACGGCUAACUCCGU